rnacentral:rRNA from 1 species
GACGAACGCUGGCGGCGUGCCUAAUACAUGCAAGUAGAACGCUGAAGGAGGAGCUUGCUCUUUCCGGAUGAGUUGCGAACGGGUGAGUAACGCGUAGGUAACCUGCCUGGUAGCGGGGGAUAACUAUUGGAAACGGUAGCUAAUACCGCAUAAGAGUAGAUAUCGCAUGAUAGCUGCUUGAAAGGUGCAAUUGCACCACUACCAGAUGGACCUGCGUUGUAUUAGCUAGUUGGUGAGGUAACGGCUCACCAAGGCAACGAUACAUAGCCGACCUGAGAGGGUGAUCGGCCACACUGGGACUGAGACACGGCCCAGACUCCUACGGGAGGCAGCAGUAGGGAAUCUUCGGCAAUGGACGGAAGUCUGACCGAGCAACGCCGCGUGAGUGAAGAAGGUUUUCGGAUCGUAAAGCUCUGUUGUAAGAGAAGAACGAGUGUGAGAGUGGAAAGUUCACACUGUGACGGUAUCUUACCAGAAAGGGACGGCUAACUACGUGCCAGCAGCCGCGGUAAUACGUAGGUCCCGAGCGUUGUCCGGAUUUAUUGGGCGUAAAGCGAGCGCAGGCGGUUAGAUAAGUCUGAAGUUAAAGGCUGUGGCUUAACCAUAGUACGCUUUGGAAACUGUUUAACUUGAGUGCAAGAGGGGAAAGUGGAAUUCCAUGUGUAGCGGUGAAAUGCGUAGAUAUAUGGAGGAACACCGGUGGCGAAAGCGGCUCUCUGGCUUGUAACUGACGCUGAAGGCUCGAAAGCGUGGGGGAGCAAACAGG